UCGGGAAUUUUGGGCAAUGGGCGAAAGCCUGACCCAGCAACGCCGCGUGGAGGAUGAAAUCCCUCGGGAUGUAAACUUCGCAAGAACGGGAAGAAUAAGUCUGUGCGAAUAUCACAGAUGAUGACGGUACCGUUUGUAAGCUCCGGCUAACUCCGUGCCCGCAGCCGCGGUAAUACGGGGGGAGCAAGCGUUGUUCGGAUUUACUGGGCGUAAAGGGCGCGUAGGCGGCCGUCGCAAGUCAAUUGGGAAAUCUCCGGGCUUAACUCGGAAAGGUCAACUGAUACUGCGGGGCUAGAGUGCAGAAGGGGCAACUGGAAUUCUCGGUGUAGCGGUGAAAUGCGUAGAUACCGAGAGGAACACCUGCGGCGAAGGCGGGUUGCUGGGCUGACACUGACGCUGAUGCGCGAAAGCUAGGGGAGCAAA
rnacentral:rRNA from 1 species